ACUUUGAGUAUAAAAAAGGAUUAUAGAAUUUUAAAGGGAGAAAUAAAAUUUGAAGAGCUUUAAAGGAAUACCGAAAGCGAAGGCAAUAAUCUAGUUUAUUUUACUGACAUUGAGAAACGAAAGAAUAGGGAGCAAACUGGAUUAGUGACCCAGGUAGUCUAUUCUGUAAACGAUGAAUGCUUGUAUUUAGGAUAUAAAAUCUUUGAUACUUAGUUAACACAUUAAGCAUUCCACCUGAGGAGUAUAUUCGCAAGGAUGGAACUCAAAGGAAUUGACGGGGGCUUAUACAAGUGGUGGAGCAUGUAGUUUAAUUCGAUAAUACACGAGAAACCUUACCAGUUUUUGAAUUUUUAAAUAAAGUUUUAUUUUAAAACACUCUUUUAUACGUAAAACUUUCUUAUUUACAGGUGUUGCAUGGUUGUCGUCAGUUCGUGUUGUGAAAUGUUUGGUUAAUUCCUUUAACGAACGAAACUUUUUUUUUUAA
rnacentral:rRNA from 16 species